rnacentral:lncRNA from 1 species
CAGUCAGCGGAGGUUUUCUGUUUCCAACCAGCCAGACUAACCAUUUGUGCUCAUCGUUCUCCAAUGAAUUCUCCAGAUCUACUCUCUGCCCACUGUCGGAGGCAGUUCUGUUCCUCAGAACAAACAAAAAACUUUACCUUAUUGAAUUUCCCCAAAAAAUGACUUUUAAAGAAAGCCAUGGAUAGCACACAGAAUCUACAGAAAAAAAUGAAGAUGGAGGCUUCAACAAAGACAAGACCCAAGGCAGGAUCUAGGUGCCAAGCUCAAGAUUUCCAAAUUCCCAGGAGGGAGCAAUUGAUGGUCCUGACUUGAGUCACGUGAUCACCCUUUUGGCCAGAGAAGACAAGAACUAUGGGUGACAGUUUUAUGGAGACUGCACUCAGUUGGGCAGAUAAAGAAGCUGAAGCAGAAAGAGAUGAAGUAACUUGCUCAAGG